GAUGAACGCUGGCGGCGUGCCUAAUACAUGCAAGUCGAGCGAACGGACGAGAAGCUUGCUUCUCUGAUGUUAGCGGCGGACGGGUGAGUAACACGUGGAUAACCUACCUAUAAGACUGGGAUAACUUCGGGAAACCGGAGCUAAUACCGGAUAAUAUUUUGAACCGCAUGGUUCAAAAGUGAAAGACGGUCUUGCUGUCACUUAUAGAUGGAUCCGCGCUGCAUUAGCUAGUUGGUAAGGUAAAGGCUUACCAAGGCAACGAUGCAUAGCCGACCUGAGAGAGGGAUCGGCCACACUGGAACUUAGACACGGUCCAUACUCCUACGAGAGGCAGCAGUAUGGAAUCUUCCGCAAUGGGCGAAAGCCUGACGGAGCAACGCCGCGUGAGUGAUGAAGGUCUUCGGAUCGUAAAGCUCUGUUAUUAGGGAAGAACAUAUUUGUAAGUAACUGUGCACAUCUUGACGGUACCUAAUCAGAAAGCCACGGCUAACUACGUG
rnacentral:rRNA from 1 species